GUGCUCGCUUCAGCAGCACAUAUACUAAAACUGGAAAGAUACAGAGAAGAUUAGCAAGGCCCAUGAGCAAGGAUGACAUGCAAAUUCGUGAAGCAUUCCAUAUUUUG
rnacentral:snRNA from 1 species